UGCGUAGGGGGCAAGCGUUGUCCGGAUUUAUUGGGCGUAAAGAGCGUGUAGGCGGCUUGGUAGGUCCGCUGUGAAAACUCGAGGCUCAACCUCGAGAUGUCGGCGGAAACCACUUGGCUGGAGUCCGGAAGAGGAGAGUGGAAUUCCCGGUGUAGCGGUGAAAUGCGCAGAUAUCAGGAGGAACACCGGUGGCGAAGGCGGGACUCUGGGCCGAUACUGACGCUGAGGAGCGAAAGCGUGGGGAGCGAACAGG
rnacentral:rRNA from 1 species